rnacentral:rRNA from 1 species
ACGCUGCGGCGGCCUAAUUCAUGCAAGUCGCACGGGAUCCGUCAGCUAGCUUGCUCGAAGACGGGGAGAGUGGCGCACGGGUGCKUAACGCGUGAGCAACCUACCUCUAUCAGGGGGAUAGCCUCUCGAAAGAGAGAUUAACACCGCUAUAACAUAUCUGACCGGCAUCUGGUUGGAUAUUAAAUAUUUAUAGGAUAGAGAUGGGCUCGCGUGACAUUAGCUDUUUUGGUAGGGUAACGGGUUACCAAGGCGACGAUGUCUAGGGGCUCUGAGAGGAGAAUCCCCCACACUGGUACUGAGACACGGACCAGACUCCUACGGGAGGCAGCUUUAAACGAAUAUUGGUCAAUGGGCGGAAGCCUGAACCAGCCAUGCCGAGUGCASGAUGACUGCCCUAUGGGUUGAAAACUGCUUUUGUCCAGGAAUAAACCUUUUCUACGUGUAGGAAGCUGAAUGUACUGGAAGAAUAAGGAUCGUCU